rnacentral:tRNA from 1 species
UAGAAAGUAGCAUAGAGGAGUGCUGAAGAUUUUGGGUCUUUAGGUGUAGGUGCAAGUCCUAUUUUUCUAG